GGUCAAGUGAAGAAGCGCAUACGGUGGAUGCCUUGGCAGUCAGAGGCGAUGAAAGACGUGGUAGCCUGCGAAAAGCUUCGGGGAGUCGGCAAACAGACUUUGAUCCGGAGAUGUCUGAAUGGGGGAACCCAGCCAUCAUAAGAUGGUUAUCUUACGCUGAAUACAUAGGCGUAAGAGGCGAACCAGGGGAACUGAAACAUCUAAGUACCCUGAGGAAAAGAAAUCAACCGAGAUUCCCUUAGUAGUGGCGAGCGAACGGGGACUAGCCCUUAAGUGGCUUUGAGAUUAGCGGAACGCUCUGGAAAGUGCGGCCAUAGUGGGUGAUAGCCCUGUACGCGAAAAUCUCUUAGUCAUGAAAUCGAGUAGGACGGAGCACGAGAAACUUUGUCUGAAUAUGGGGGACCAUCCUCCAAGGCUAAAUACUACUGACUGACCGAUAGUGAACUAGUACCGUGAGGGAAAGGCGAAAAGAACCCCGGAGAGGGGAGUGAAAUAGAUCCUGAAACCGUAUGCGUACAAGCAGUGGGAGCCCACUUUGUUGGGUGACUGCGUACCUUUUGUAUAAUGGGUCAGCGACUUAUUUUCAGUGGCGAGCUUAACCGAAUAGGGGAGGCGUAGCGAAAGCGAGUCUUAAUAGGGCGUCUAGUCGCUGGGAAUAGACCCGAAACCGGGCGAUCUAUCCAUGGGCAGGUUGAAGGUUGGGUAACACUAACUGGAGGACCGAACCGACUACCGUUGAAAAGUUAGCGGAUGACCUGUGGAUCGGAGUGAAAGGCUAAUCAAGCUCGGAGAUAGCUGGUUCUCCUCGAAAGCUAUUUAGGUAGCGCCUCAUGUAUCACUGUAGGGGGUAGAGCACUGUUUCGGCUAGGGGGUCAUCCCGACUUACCAAACCGAUGCAAACUCCGAAUACCUACAAGUGCCGAGCAUGGGAGACACACGGCGGGUGCUAACGUCCGUCGUGAAAAGGGAAACAACCCAGACCGUCAGCUAAGGUCCCAAAGUUAUGGUUAAGUGGGAAACGAUGUGGGAAGGCUUAGACAGCUAGGAGGUUGGCUUAGAAGCAGCCACCCUUUAAAGAAAGCGUAAUAGCUCACUAGUCGAGUCGGCCUGCGCGGAAGAUGUAACGGGGCUCAAACCAUACACCGAAGCUACGGGUAUCAUCUUCGGAUGAUGCGGUAGAGGAGCGUUCUGUAAGCCUGUGAAGGUGAGUUGAGAAGCUUGCUGGAGGUAUCAGAAGUGCGAAUGCUGACAUGAGUAACGACAAUGGGUGUGAAAAACACCCACGCCGAAAGACCAAGGUUUCCUGCGCAACGUUAAUCGACGCAGGGUUAGUCGGUCCCUAAGGCGAGGCUGAAAAGCGUAGUCGAUGGAAAACAGGUUAAUAUUCCUGUACUUCUGGUUAUUGCGAUGGAGGGACGGAGAAGGCUAGGCCAGCUUGGCGUUGGUUGUCCAAGUUUAAGGUGGUAGGCUGGAAUCUUAGGUAAAUCCGGGAUUCUAAGGCCGAGAGCUGAUGACGAGUUACCCUUUGGGUGACGAAGUGGUUGAUGCCAUGCUUCCAAGAAAAGCUUCUAAGCUUCAGGUAACCAGGAACCGUACCCCAAACCGACACAGGUGGUUGGGUAGAGAAUACCAAGGCGCUUGAGAGAACUCGGGUGAAGGAACUAGGCAAAAUGGCACCGUAACUUCGGGAGAAGGUGCGCCGGUGAGGGUGAAGGACUUGCUCCGUAAGCUCAUGCCGGUCGAAGAUACCAGGCCGCUGCGACUGUUUAUUAAAAACACAGCACUCUGCAAACACGAAAGUGGACGUAUAGGGUGUGACGCCUGCCCGGUGCCGGAAGGUUAAUUGAUGGGGUUAGCUAACGCGAAGCUCUUGAUCGAAGCCCCGGUAAACGGCGGCCGUAACUAUAACGGUCCUAAGGUAGCGAAAUUCCUUGUCGGGUAAGUUCCGACCUGCACGAAUGGCGUAACGAUGGCGGCGCUGUCUCCACCCGAGACUCAGUGAAAUUGAAAUCGCUGUGAAGAUGCAGUGUAUCCGCGGCUAGACGGAAAGACCCCGUGAACCUUUACUAUAGCUUUGCACUGGACUUUGAAUUUGCUUGUGUAGGAUAGGUGGGAGGCUUUGAAGCGUGGACGCCAGUUCGCGUGGAGCCAACCUUGAAAUACCACCCUGGCAACUUUGAGGUUCUAACUCAGGUCCGUUAUCCGGAUCGAGGACAGUGUAUGGUGGGUAGUUUGACUGGGGCGGUCUCCUCCUAAAGAGUAACGGAGGAGUACGAAGGUGCGCUCAGACCGGUCGGAAAUCGGUCGUAGAGUAUAAAGGCAAAAGCGCGCUUGACUGCGAGACAGACACGUCGAGCAGGUACGAAAGUAGGUCUUAGUGAUCCGGUGGUUCUGUAUGGAAGGGCCAUCGCUCAACGGAUAAAAGGUACUCCGGGGAUAACAGGCUGAUACCGCCCAAGAGUUCAUAUCGACGGCGGUGUUUGGCACCUCGAUGUCGGCUCAUCACAUCCUGGGGCUGAAGCCGGUCCCAAGGGUAUGGCUGUUCGCCAUUUAAAGUGGUACGCGAGCUGGGUUUAGAACGUCGUGAGACAGUUCGGUCCCUAUCUGCCGUGGACGUUUGAGAUUUGAGAGGGGCUGCUCCUAGUACGAGAGGACCGGAGUGGACGAACCUCUGGUGUUCCGGUUGUCACGCCAGUGGCAUUGCCGGGUAGCUAUGUUCGGAAUAGAUAACCGCUGAAAGCAUCUAAGCGGGAAACUAGCCUCAAGAUGAGAUCUCACCGGAACCUUGAGUUCCCUGAAGGGCCGUCGAAGACUACGACGUUGAUAGGUUGGGUGUGUAAGCGCUGUGAGGCGUUGAGCUAACCAAUACUAAUUGCCCGUGAGGCUUGACCAU
rnacentral:rRNA from 1 species